GUGGUUUCUGCAUCAACGUAUGUUCCAGAUUAUAUCAAUGCAAGUUAUGUGGGUUUAUUUACAAUUGGACCUUAUUAUGAGAGAGACCUAAUUGUCUUAAGUCUCAUUGUUAUUACCUGCUCUUUGUGUAUGUAAGAAUAUGUAUGCCUAUUAGUACUGAUCAUCAUAAAUUUGUGCAAAGAGGAGAGCAGACAAGACUAAUAAACGGAGAAAAGAGCACUAGAGAAGUUCUUCAAUAAGAGAAAUGGAUUUAGAAAUCAACUGGGACUAUGAAAUGCUUUUAUCUUCAUUGAUUUAUCGUAACCUGCAAAAGAAUGCCAAAGUAGAAAGAGAAGCAUAAUUGAAGAUCAACCAUCGGAGCAUAAGUGACCUCUUGCUACCUACAUGCGAGUGCGAGCUGUUGUCUUUGCUUCUUCGAAUUCAUUUUUUUAAGGUACGCAGGAGAAAGUGAAGGCGCUCGAUCCUAUUUCAUACUUAAGAUAUGCCUUACCAUUGAACCAUUGAAAGUGGCUUGACUCCUUAUGUUCCAAUACUCCACAGUCACUCUGACAUCUUCGGAUUCCACUUCCGUGAACACUUCAUCAACUGAUUAAUGUUUGCUAUUACCUACAACUGUGAAUCACCAAGAGCAUCAACUUCCCUAUAACUUACACCUCAUAAAUCUAACUGCAGCAAGCAAUUUUGUUACUACCUUUAAUUUUAAUUAUAAUUUUACUGACAAGUUUUUUUUUUUUUUCAA